GCGACGAGACCCCUCGUCAUCGAUCAACUGUGGCCGGUCAAUGCGAUGGUCACAACUGUGCCUGUCCGAACGGUCAGCAGCGUAAAGGGAGAGAGAAUAAAAACAAAACCGGGGAUAGGUAUAACGAUCAAAAACCGUGACCAAGCAACUUCGAAUGAAAAUUGAUAGUAGGCGCAAAUUUAUUUGGUUGAAUUUGAGAGGUUUCUCGUGAAAUUUAGUUCUAUUUCAUGCUUAAUUCUUAAAAGGUAGUUGAAUUCAAUAAGUGAAGUCUAGCAUUGAAAUGUGUGAUACAUGCAGAUACGUAGUUUCUUAAUCUAAUAGUACGGACUAUAUACAAAUAUCUAAGCUGAAGCAUAUAUUGGAUUCUGAACGGUGCUGAUAAACUAUAAAUAUUGUAAGUAAUUGAACUUGUUAAUCAUUAUCAGUUAACCUUAACAAUUCGUACAUUCAGACAGUAAUCCCCAUAUCUAAGACCUAUCGAGGCGUGGUAUGAUCCUUGAUGUCGAAGGUCACCAAAAUUGUGAGUAGGCAAUGUAUAUUAAAAUUAAGAUGGAAACAAUAAUUAAAAUACAUUUACAGCUAAAAGCUUACCAUCACUAAAUCCAAGGUUUGCUGUUUAGACUUGACAGACCCCCACAACAUUCUUUUAGAAUUUUGUACGUGGGUAAUCGAUAUGACGGGACAUCACGACCAAUCGAUGUACCAGUGCAAGACAUGCCACGGAGCGGACCCGGUAAGUGCUCAUAUGUUCACCUGCGACCGGUGCCGUGAAUGGGAGCACUUUCGGUGCGCCGGGAUCAGCGAAGCCGCCCAAAGCCGUCCCUUCAUCUGUAAGCUCUGCAGGAAAGGUGAAACGAGCACACAACGAGUGCUUAGGUCACAGACGAAAGGUAACCCACUUACUAACCCAUCGGUAGCAGGUGCCCCCUCAAAUAAGGGCAGCAAGAUGUCGUCUGUCCGCAGUUUCAGCUCCCGGUCGUCAGUUGUAAAGGCGCAACUGGAACUGGCAGAAGAGGAAACCAGGAUGAAGCAGAAGGAGCUUGAAGAGGAAGAAGAACUCAAGACGCUUGAGCUGGAAGAAGAAAGGAAGCAGUUAGAGGCGAAGAAGAAGUUAGUUGAAGAAGAAGCCCGCUUGCGGCAGCGGACGCUGGAAGCGAAUCGGGAGCGUCUGGCGAAGCAACAAUCGAUCCGCCGAGAAUCGUUGGAGAAGAGGAACGAGAUUCUGUUGCAGAUAUCCGAACGCGGGAGUGUGUUGGAGUCUACGACCAGUUCCGUCGAAAAGGUUUCAAAAUGGUUGAACACCCACCCUCCUGGAGGGAUGACCGAAGGAAACAUCGCAGGGGCACAAAUUGACCCCCUUUCUUCGGCCCCAAAUGGACUACAGGGAGGUAUUUCGUGCACCGUUCCAAAGCCUUCGCGAACCGGAUCUACCUCAGCCCUACCACCCAAUUUCCCACGACAGGUAACGGAGAAUGGUCAGCCUUUGGACACGCUACGAUCCGGGCUGCACGCCUCCGGGGUCCCCAUAAUUAACCCGAGCCACACCCUUCCGAGGACCGUCUUUCCACGAGAAGUGCACUCGGUUACCGUUAGGGAACCAUUCCAACAGUACGUUGCAUCUUCCCGGCCGUUUCGUGACCCCCGCUUAGUUCCAACUGCUAGUCCGUUAAAUUCCCCAGCGGUGUAUUCAUGUCCGCCGAUGAUCCAACACGCAGCAAGGCCGAUUAUCGACGAAGGAAAUCAAGCUGUGCACAUUAACCAACGCUCGGCGCCUUCCAUGGAUACGCCUCUCCAUCAUAGUUCGAUGCGGAAUCCCAGAUCAGUCGUCCUCCACUCUAAUACACCCGUUGCGGAUCAGCGUUUCCAGGAUCGGGAUUCUUUUCCCGAACAUGGCUUAUCGGGUGAUAGGUUUAGCCGAAGAACGAUGCCCAAAGCUCAAGAAAUGCGUCUGGAGGCCGGUGUCCUUAGCACCCAACAGAUAGCUGCACGGCAGGUCGUCGGUAAAGAUUUGCCGUCGUUCAACGGAAACCCUACGGACUGGCCGAUGUUCAUAACCUCCUUCGAACAAUCUACCGUUGCAUGUGGGUAUUCAAACGCCGAAAAUCUGGUGCGCCUCCAACGAUGCCUCACGGGACAUGCUCGAGAAGCUGUACGAAGCCGGCUUCUACUCCCAGCUAACGUACCACACGUCGUUGAUACCCUACGAACGCUCUACGGUCGGCCAGAGUUGUUAAUUCGUUCGCUCCACGAGAAGAUAAAGGGUACUCCUGGUCCUAGGCACGAUCGACCGGAAACGAUACUCGAGUUCGGCUUGGUGGUUCAAAACUUUGUUGACCACCUGCAAGCCGCGCAACAGGAAGAGCAUCUGUCAAACCCGAUGCUCCUGCAGGAACUGGUAGAGAAACUGCCAGGUUCAAUGCGGAUGGACUGGGCGGCCUUCAAAAGCCAACACUUUCGAGCAACCGUGACAACAUUUGGCGAGUUUAUGACCAAACUGGUAAAAGCGGCCAGCGAGGUCAGCUUCGAGAUUCCGGGGCUAUGGAAGGGCCUGAACGACGGAAAGCAACAGCGAACGAAGGAAAGAGCCAGGAUUCAGACACACUCCGCCGAAGAAACCUCUUCCUCGAGACCUGUCGACACCAGUACGCGCAAAACUCCUAAACCGUGUGCUAUUUGCGAUCGUGAAGGGCAUAGAGUGGCAGAGUGCUCAAAAUUCAAGCAGUUGAGUAUUGACGAUCGUUGGAAGUCGGUGCAAAACAAAAACUUGUGCAGGACGUGCCUGAACAACCACGGCAAGUGGCCUUGCAAGUCAUGGCAGGGAUGCGGAAGUUCAGGAUGUAAGUUGAAGCAUCACACCCUUCUUCAUUCGCCAUCUACUCCACCGACUUCUUCGCAUUCCGUGAACGUAUCAUCCAGCCAGCUUUCUGCUGGCGAACACCGAACUCUUUUUCGGGUUUUACCAGUCAUCCUUUGCGGAAGAGAGAAAACCGUUACCGUCUUCGCAUUCAUCGAUGAAGGAUCUCAAAUUACCAUGUUGGAGGAGAAAGUCGCUAAAGAGCUCGGCGUAACUGGACCGAAGAAGCCGCUCACUCUCCAGUGGACGGGCAAUGUAAAACGCAGUGAACCAGGAUCGCAAGAAGUUAGCCUGAAAAUUGCUGGGAAAAAUAGCGGGAUAUGCUAUGAUCUACGACAGGCGCGCACGGUAAGCUGUUUACUGUUGCCCACUCAGAGCAUGAAUUACCGCGAACUGUGUGCUCAAUUUCCACACCUCAGAGGCCUCCCCAUAGAAGAUCAAGAUCUCGUUCAACCAAAAUUGUUGAUUGGGCUAGACAAUCUUCGGCUUGUAGUACCGCAGAAGCUGCGCGAAGGUGGAGCACAUGAUCCCAUUGCUGCAAAAUGCCGCUUGGGUUGGAGUAUCUACGGCAGUACAUCUACAAAUUCCGUGGCCAGAGUUAGAGUCAAUUUUCACACCGCUGCUGAGCAGAGUCCAGACGACCUCCUCAAUGCGCAGUUGCGAGACUACUUCGCGCUUGAGAACUGCGGCGUUGCUGCUCCAGCCGAGAAACUCGAGUCGGAAGAGGACAAGAGAGCGAGACGACUGCUCGAGGAAACCACACGGCGAACGGCGACCGGGUUCGAAACAGGUCUUUUGUGGAGGUCCGAUACCCAAGAGUUUCCAGACACAUACCCAAUGGCUCUUCGGCGGCUGAAAUGUUUGGAGAAAAAACUGCAGGGCAAUUCUUCAAUGAUGGAACGCGUGCGAGAACAAAUCAUCGAUUUCGAAACGAAGGGCUAUAUUCGCAAGGUCAGCGAAGCGGAGCAGUCCAAACUGGAUUACCGGAAAACCUGGUUUCUCCCCUUAGGAAUUGUCCUGAACCCAAAAAAGCCCGGAAAGUUGCGACUCAUUUGGGACGCGGCAGCAAAGGUCGGUGGAGUGUCGUUCAACACACAUUUGCUAAAGGGGCCAGAUUUGCUCACGCCUCUACCACGCGUCCUCAGUGGCUUCCGAUUGUUUCCUGUGGCAAUUUCAGGAGAUAUAAGGGAGAUGUUUCUGCAAAUAAGGCUGCAACCCGGGGACCGCAACGCUCAAAUGUUCCUGUUCCGCAACCAUCCUCAAGAUCCAGUGCAAACCUACGCAAUUGACGUCACCAUGUUCGGAUCGACCUGCUCUCCGUCGUCGGCACAAUAUGUCAAAAACGUGAAUGCUGAACAACAUGCUGAACACUAUCCACGGGCAGCGGCCGCCAUCAUAGAACACCAUUAUGUGGACGAUUACUUGGACAGCUUCCGGACUGUGGAAGAGGCCGUCCAAGUCGUAAAUGAUGUCAAGCUCGUUCACUCCAGAGGCGGAUUCGAAAUUCGCAAUUUCCUCUGCAAUAAGGGCGAAGUCCUGCGGCGAACUGGGGAGAUCGAACCAGAUUCGUCCAAGGAAUUCGCCCUCGUACGAGCAGAAACAACCGAAUCAGUGUUAGGAAUGAAAUGGCUCCCAGAAGAUGAUGUUUUCACUUACACAUUUGCUAUGCGUAACGAUUUGAAACCGAUUCUCGCUGAUAAGCACAUCCCAACGAAGCGGGAGGUUCUCAAGGUGAUCAUGAGCCUGUUCGACCCUCUGGGCUUCAUAGCGUAUUUUCUUGUGCACGGCAAGGUGUUGAUGCAAGAUAUUUGGGCGUCGGGCAUCGACUGGGACGACGAAAUUGGCGAGGAGCUUCUUCUCCGUUGGCAGCAGUGGACGAGUUACUUUCCGCAGUUGGAUAGCUUACGCAUUCCGCGAUGCUACUUCCAAUCCCCGUUUCCUACAAACUUUGAUCGGCUAGAACUCCACGUAUUAGUCGACGCCAGCGAUUCUGCCUACGCGUGUGUCGCGUAUUAUCGAUUGGAGACAGAAAGUGGCGUGCAAGUGGCGCUGAUCGGUGCCAAAACCAAAGUGGCCCCGUUAAAAGUAUUGUCGAUCCCCCGUCUGGAAUUAAAGGCCGCCAUUCUAGGAGUUCGCAUGCUGGAAACUGUCCAAGGCUAUCACACCUACCCUAUUAGCCGAAGGAUUCUCUGGAGUGACUCCAGUACCGUACUUGCCUGGAUACGAUCUGAGCAUCGUCGGUACAACAAAUUCGUCGCUGUGCGAAUCGGCGAAAUCCUCACGGCGACCAACGCUCAGGAGUGGAGAUGGGUCCCUUCCGGGAUGAACACCGCUGACAUUGCCACUAAGUGGAAAGGUGGUCCAGAUUUUUCCCAUAAUAGCCCGUGGUUCCGGGGUCCUGCAUUCCUAAGUCGGUCCGACGAGCACUGGCCACAGCAAACAACGAUCCAUACGACACAUGAAGAGCUUCGAGUCAACCACGUCCAUUCUUCAACAUCCCCGUUAAUCGAUGCAACACGGUUCAGUCAAUGGACCAAGAUUCACCGCACUACGGCGUACGUCAUCCGAUUUGUUCAAAAUCUACGGCGAAAAUGUGAAGGUUCAACAUUGCAGUUAGGAGUUCUGCAGCAAGAGGAGCUGAAGUGUGCAGAGGAGGUGCUGUGGAAGGUAGCACAAGCGGAUGCCUUUCCGGAAGAAAUUGCUGCCCUUUCAAACGCUCAAGAAUAUCCAAAUGCGCGUCAUAGACGCGUUCCGAAAUCCAGUCCUAUAUAUAAGAACUGGCCAUUUCUAGACGAGCGAGGAGUGCUCCGGAUGCGCGGAAGAAUCGGGGCCGCAGCCUUCAUCCCAACCGAAACUAAGUUUCCAGCGAUCCUUCCUAGGCAACACAUAAUCACGUUUCUUCUUACAGACUGGUACCACCGCCGAUUCCGCCACGCCAACCGGGAAACAGUCGCCAACGAAAUACGCCAACGUUUCGAAAUCGCCAAACUUCGAGCACUCAUUCAAAAGGUCAUGAAGGCCUGCAUGAUGUGUAAAGUGGCGAGAGCCACACCCAAUCCUCCAGCGAUGGCACCGCUUCCUGCCGCACGGCUGCAACCAUUCGUUCGUCCAUUCACGUUCGUCGGGCUGGACUAUUUCGGUCCAGUAUUGGUCAAGGUCGGCCGAAGCCAGGUAAAAAGAUGGGUUGCUCUUUUCACCUGCCUCACAAUCCGUGCUGUGCACUUGGAGGUAGUGCAUAGCCUGUCAACCGAGUCGUGUGUCAUGGCAGUCCGCCGCUUCAUCGCGAGACGUGGUACCCCGGCGGAAUUCUAUACAGACAAUGGUACAUGCUUCCAAGGGGCCAACAAAGAACUGGAAAAGGAGAAGUUGGACGCUCGAAACAAUGCUCUAGCUGCUACAUUCACCACCACAACCACGAAAUGGCGCUUCAUUCCGCCGGCCGCUCCUCAUAUGGGGGGUGUUUGGGAGCGUCUUGUAAGGUCGGUCAAGGUAGCACUAGGAACGGUUGCGACGGCACCACGCACACCUGACGAUGAGGUUCUAGAAACUGCUCUGCUCGAAGCAGAAGCAUUGAUUAACGCUAGACCCCUAACCUACAUUCCUCUUGAAUCGGCGGAUAAGGAAGCUCUCACCCCGAAUCAUUUCCUGUUGGGAACCUCUAACGGUGAUAAGAUUGCCCCCUUUGGACCAGUGGACAAUCCAGCGGUACUACGUAGUGGCUGGCGGCUUGCUCAAUCGAUUACCCAAGAGUUUUGGGCAAGGUGGCUGAAGGAGUAUCUUCCUGUGAUUAGGCGCCAAGGAAAGUGGUUCGAGGAAAAACCAGAUAUAGCGGUAGAUGACCUAGUGUUGGUCGUGAGUGGAUCGGCAAGGGACCAGUGGGUGAGAGGACGUGUAGAAGCGGUGGUUCCCGGACGGGACGGAAGAGUUCGUCAAGCCUUCGUUCGGACUGCAUCAGGAGUUCUGCGGCGACCAGCAGUGAAGCUUGCGGUGCUCGACGUGCGAGAAAGUAGCGAACCUAUUGCAAGAGUUCCUGGGAACCGGAAGUCGGACCAAGGUUCACGGGAGGGGGGAUGUCGCGACGAGACCCCUCGUCAUCGAUCAACUGUGGCCGGUCAAUGCGAUGGUCACAACUGUGCCUGUCCGAACGGUCAGCAGCGUAAAGGGAGAGAGAAUAAAAACAAAACCGGGGAUAGGUAUAACGAUCAAAAACCGUGACCAAGCAACUUCGAAUGAAAAUUGAUAGUAGGCGCAAAUUUAUUUGGUUGAAUUUGAGAGGUUUCUCGUGAAAUUUAGUUCUAUUUCAUGCUUAAUUCUUAAAAGGUAGUUGAAUUCAAUAAGUGAAGUCUAGCAUUGAAAUGUGUGAUACAUGCAGAUACGUAGUUUCUUAAUCUAAUAGUACGGACUAUAUACAAAUAUCUAAGCUGAAGCAUAUAUUGGAUUCUGAACGGUGCUGAUAAACUAUAAAUAUUGUAAGUAAUUGAACUUGUUAAUCAUUAUCAGUUAACCUUAACAAUUCGUACAUUCAGACAGUAAUCCCCAUAUCUAAGACCUAUCGAGGCGUGGUAUGAUCCUUGAUGUCGAAGGUCACCAAAAUUGUGAGUAGGCAAUGUAUAUUAAAAUUAAGAUGGAAACAAUAAUUAAAAUACAUUUACAGCUAAAAGCUUACCAUCACUAAAUCC